rnacentral:tRNA from 1 species
GGGGCUGUAGUGUAGUCUGGUUAUCACUCUACCUUGGGGUGGUAGCAACCGGGGUUCAAAUCCUCGCAGCCCCC